CACUAUCACAAACAAAAACAAAGAAAUAACCAUAGAGAUGUCAAAAAUGUCAACCACUAACAUAUGAACUUUGGGGCAUAAUCAUAAUCAGCUUACUCAUCCUUAAAAUCCAAGCUAAAUUUUUUUCAACAGAUAAAGAAAGACACAUGCCAAAUAAUAAUAUUUUUUUCACCUUUCUUAUAACAUCUUUAGGUUCCUAGGAAAUCCUUUAACAGAAUUGGAAUCAAUUGAAUGUAAGACCCUUAAUCUACAUGGCUUUACUUUUAGAGAUAGUAAGAAGUUAACCUCAUUCCCUUUUAUGGAGAAAAAUAAAAUAGUUAAAAAAAUUGAGUAAGAUUAAAUAAGUUGUCCCUCAAAAAAAAUUUUAGAACCCAUUAUCUCUAAAAUGAAACACAUUGUAAGAAGUUAGACUUUCAUCUUAAGUGAAACAUGAUUUUAGAGAGAAACAGAGAGAUAUGUACUUUCAACAACUAAGAAAGUUGAGUAGUUUCUUCUCUUGCAUAAACCAACACUCCUUUUAAAUGUUCUUAAAAAAUAGAGGUCAGGUUUAUUGAGCAAAAUAUGGGCAAAAAUUAAAGAUAUAUGAGAAGAGAAAACCACUGGCCGAACAAAUAUUUAGCUUCAAAUUUUAGUUCCAAUUAUAAUGCAUGCCAAUGCCAAAUUCAAAAUCAAUGCAAAACAAUUUGAAUUAACCUUCACUAUCAAUUCAAGAAACAACUUGUUUUUUUUCUCCAUCAAAUAAAAAUAGAGACAUAGAAUAGUAAUACACACGUUUUCGAAUUAAAAUUCACAAAACUUCCUUCAUUUUUGUACUAUAUCCUUUUCCUAUAUAUUGAGAAUUGAAAAACAAAACCAAGUAAAUGCAACAUUGGAUUAAAAUAAAUGCAACAUUCAUAUUUUUGAAAGGACUAAAAGAGCAUAAAUUGAAAUUGAAUUAAAAAGAAAAAACAGAAUUUAAUUUAUAUCCACACCAAUAAAUAAUAAAUUAAAAAAAUAAGCAUAUAAGGCAUGAUAAUGGAAGGAAGAAAUUGGCAAAGAUUGAAGAGAAACAUGAUCCAAAAGAUGGAAAACGGGGUUGAGAAGGUAUGGUUUGGGAGAGAGAGGGAGAGAGAGAGAGAGAGAGAGAGAGAGAGAGAGAGCAAACAAAGAUGAUAUAUCAAGUAGAUAUGUAUAUUCAAAUUGGUAUGUCUCCAUCCUUAGUAGAUCUAUGGAUAUCUACCACCUAAGCAUGAGUGCAUGACUCCAAAACAUAUUGUCAUUCAUAAAGCAAAACAACAAAACUGCAAGCCCAACAAUAAUGAGCUAGUGCAGCAUAACCAUUAUGAAAAACAAAACAACAUUCCUCAAUUUAAGCAAUUAAGAAUUGUUCCACCAUGGAUAGCAAAACUAAUAAAAGCAAACUAAUUCUAAACAAUUAAGAUCCAAGACAAUGACUUCGGCAAUAACCUCGAGCAUAGAAAAAUGCUUAGAAA